CGUGGAUCGUUUACUUCUGCCUGCUCAGCCUUUCUCAUACCUUCACUGACUGUGAGUUUUCUGCUUGUGUUGGGCCUCUCAGCGCAUCUCUUCUGGACUCUGAAACGGCCACUUACCAAACCAGCAAACACUAGAGAUUGUGAAGUAGAACAGUCAAGAAGCAGGAGAACUGAUGCUCAGCAGGAUAUCGUUUAUGCUUCUCUGGAUCUUCAAGCACUUUCCCGUGGCAGAAAAUAACCCACCAAUAGACGAUAUAUGGAGUACAAAUAGCCAUACAAAAUAAGUACAGGUAUGGGAUCCUUUAUCGGGAAACCUGUUAUCCAGAAAGCUUCAAAUUACG